AUUGAACGCUGGCGGCAUGCCUUACACAUGCAAGUCGAACGGUAACGCGGGGCAACCUGGCGACGAGUGGCGAACGGGUGAGUAAUGCAUCGGAACGUGCCCAGAAGUGGGGGAUAGCCCGGCGAAAGCCGGCUUAAUACCGCAUGAGACCUGAGGGUGAAAGCGGGGGAUCGCAAGACCCCGCGCCUUUGGAGCGGCCGAUGUCAGAUUAGCUAGUUGGUGGGGUAAAGCACUACCAAGGCGACGAGCUGUAGCUGGUCUGAGUGGACGGCCAGCCACACUGAGGCUGAGAGACGGCCCAGACUCCUACGGGAGGCAGCAGUGGGGAAUUUUGGACAAUGGGCGCAAGCCUGAUCCAGCCAUGCCGCGUGCGGGAAGAAGGCACCCGGGUUGUAAACCGCUUUUGUCAGGGAAGAAACGCUCUGGGCUAAUACCCUGGGGUAAUGACGGUACCUGAAGCAUAAGCACCGGCUAACUACGUGCCAGCCGCCGCUGUAA
rnacentral:rRNA from 1 species